rnacentral:rRNA from 1 species
AGUGAACGCUGGCGGUAGGCCUAACACAUGCAAGUCGAACGGCAGCACAGGAGAGCUUGCUCUCUGGGUGGCGAGUGGCGGACGGGUGAGGAAUACAUCGGAAUCUACUUUUUCGAGGGGGAUAACGUAGGGAAACUUACGCUAAUAGAGCAUACGACCUACGGGUGAAAGCAGGGGAUCUUCGGACCUUGCGCGAGUGAAUGAGCUGAUGUCGGAUUGGCUAGUUGGCGGGGGAAAGGCCCACCAAGGCGACGAUCAGUGGCUGGUCUGAGAGGAUGAGCAGCCACACUGGAACUGAGACACGUUCCAGACUCCUACGGGAGGCAGCAGUGGGGAAUAUUGGACAAUGGGCGCAAGCCUGAUCCAGCCAUACCGCGUGGGUGAAGAAGGCCUUCGGGUUGUAAAGCCCUUUUGUUGGGAAAGAAAUCCAGCUGGUUAAUACCCGGUUGGGAUGACGGUACCCAAAGAAUAAGCACCGGCUAACUUCGUGCCAGCAGCCGCCGUAA